rnacentral:rRNA from 1 species
AUUGAACGCUGGCGGCAUGCCUUACACAUGCAAGUCGAACGCGAAAGCGGGGCAACCCGCAAGUAGAGUGGCGAACGGGUGAGUAAUACAUCGGAACAUAUCCAGUAGCGGGGGAUAACCUGUCGAAAGAUAGGCUAAUACCGCAUACGAUCUACGGAUGAAAGCAGGGGACCGCAAGGCCUUGCACUAUUGGAGUGGCCGAUGUCGGAUUAGCUAGUUGGUGGGGUAAAAGCCUACCAAGGCGACGAUCCGUAGCUGGUCUGAGAGGACGAUCAGCCACACUGGAACUGAGACACGGUCCAGACUCCUACGGGAGGCAGCAGUGGGGAAUUUUGGACAAUGGGCGAAAGCCUGAUCCAGCCAUGCCGCGUGAGUGAAGAAGGCCUUCGGGUUGUAAAGCUCUUUCGGUGAAGACGAAACGGUUAGUGUUAAUAACACUGACUAAUGACGGUACUCACAGAAGAAGCACCGGCUAACUACGUGCCAGCAGCCGCGGUAAUACGUAGGGUGCAGGCGUUAAUCGGAAUUACUGGGCGUAAAGCGUGCGCAGGCGGUUUGUUAAGACAGGUGUGAAAUCCCCGGGCUUAACCUGGGAAUUGCGCUUGUAACUGGCAAGCUAGAGUGUGGCAGAGGGGGGUGGAAUUCCACGUGUAGCAGUGAAAUGCGUAGAUAUGUGGAGGAACACCGAUGGCGAAGGCAGCCCCCUGGGUUAACACUGACGCUCAUGCACGAAAGCGUGGGGAGCAAACAGGAUUAGAUACCCUGGUAGUCCACGCCCUAAACUAUGUCAACUAGUUGUCGGGGAAGAAAUUCCUUGGUAACGAAGCUAACGCGUGAAGUUGACCGCCUGGGGAGUACGGCCGCAAGGUUAAAACUCAAAGGAAUUGACGGGGACCCGCACAAGCGGUGGAUUAUGUGGAUUAAUUCGAUGCAACGCGAAAAACCUUACCUACCCUUGACAUGCUAGGAAGCCCGCAGAGAUGUGGGUGUGCCCGAAAGGGAACCUAGACACAGGUGCUGCAUGGCUGUCGUCAGCUCGUGUCGUGAGAUGUUGGGUUAAGUCCCGCAACGAGCGCAACCCUUGUCGUUAAUUGCCAUCAUUUAGUUGGGCACUUUAACGAGACCGCCGGUGACAAACCGGAGGAAGGUGGGGAUGACGUCAAGUCCUCAUGGCCCUUAUGGGUAGGGCUUCACACGUAAUACAAUGGUCGGUACAGAGGGCUGCCAACCCGCAAGGGGGAGCUAAUCCCAGAAAGCCGAUCGUAGUCCGGAUUGUAGUCUGCAACUCGACUGCAUGAAGCCGGAAUCGCUAGUAAUCGCGGAUCAGCAUGUCGCGGUGAAUACGUUCCCGGGUCUUGUACACACCGCCCGUCACACCAUGGGAGUGGGUUCCACCAGAAGUAGUUAGCCUAACCGCAAGGAGGGCGAUUACCACGGUGAGAUUCAUGACUGGGGUG